AGAGUUUGAUCCUGGCUCAGGAUGAACGCUGGCGGCGUGCCUAACACAUGCAAGUCGAACGGACUUAUAACGAAACCUAGUGAAUUAUAAGUUAGUGGCGGACGGGUGAGUAACGCGUGGAAAACCUGCCGUAUACUGGGGGAUAACACUUAGAAAUAGGUGCUAAUACCGCAUAAGCGCACAGCUUCGCAUGAAGCAGUGUGAAAAACUCCGGUGGUAUACGAUGGUUCCGCGUCUGAUUAGCUAGUUGGUGAGGUAAAAGCCCACCAAGGCAACGAUCAGUAGCCGGCCUGAGAGGGUGAACGGCCACAUUGGGACUGAGACACGGCCCAGACCCCUACGGGAGGCAGCAGUGGGGGAUAUUGCACAAUGGGGGAAACCCUGAUGCAGCGACGCCGCGUGAGUGAAGAAGUAUUUCGGUACGUAAAGCUCUAUCAGCAGGGAAGAAAAAAAGUCCACAGGACUUUGGACGGUACCUGACUAAGAAGCCCCGGCUAACUACGUG
rnacentral:rRNA from 1 species